GCCCAAGUGGCGGAACUGGCAGACGCGCUAGAUUCAGGGUCUAGUGCCGGCAACGGCGUGGAGGUUCGAAUCCUCUCUUGGGCA
rnacentral:tRNA from 1 species